rnacentral:rRNA from 1 species
GAUGAACGCUGACAGAAUGCUUAACACAUGCAAGUCUACUUGAAUUUGGGUUUUUUAACUUCGAUUUGGGUGGCGGACGGGUGAGUAACGCGUAAAGAACUUGCCUCACGGCUAGGGACAACAUUUGGAAACGAAUGCUAAUACCUGAUAUUAUGAUUAUAAGGCAUCUUAGAAUUAUGAAAGCUAUAUGCGCUGUGAGAGAGCUUUGCGUCCCAUUAGCUAGUUGGAGAGGUAACGGCUCACCAAGGCGAUGAUGGGUAGCCGGCCUGAGAGGGUGAACGGCCACAAGGGGACUGAGACACGGCCCUUACUCCUACGGGAGGCAGCAGUGGGGAAUAUUGGACAAUGGACCAAGAGUCUGAUCCAGCAAUUCUGUGUGCACGAUGACGUUUUUCGGAAUGUAAAGUGCUUUCAGUUGGGAAGAAAAAAAUGACGGUACCAACAGAAGAAGUGACGGCUAAAUACGUG